UAAGAUGUAGCAACCCCCCCGCCUUUUUUUUUUUUUUUUUUUUUGCAGUAUAGAAUAACAUAAACACCAAAUAAAACCCCAAUCCUGGCUUCGCCCGUGUCUUCUAUGAUUUCGAGGAAUAAUCGAAUACGAAGGCGAAGCUGUUGUAAUGAUUUUCCCCGAUGAAUGAACAGUAUACGGAUCCUAACAGGAAAUGAAAAUCUGAUCUUUGACGAAGGAGGGGUGGUGGAUCGAUUUCAGAUAAAUCAAUAUCAAGGAAAGAUUGGGAUAUUUCUUCCAAAGAAAACGAACAUAGUUCCAAUACGGUAUAUUUGUGGAACACUCAACACCUAUUUCAAAAGGAAAAAAAGAGAAAUAAAGCAAAGGUUACUUUUCGGUUAGUUUUUUUUUAAUGUAAAUCUUGAAGUCCACUUUAAUAUCUACUUAUCUAUGUAGAUAAAAGAAUUGAAUAAAUAAAAGUGUAACGUUGCUAUUAUUGGUAAGGAAUUGUAAGUACAUUGGUACUAUAUGUAAAUAAAUGUAAGUAUGUUGCUAUUAUGGUUACA